rnacentral:rRNA from 1 species
ACGGAGCACGCCGCGUGAGGGAAGAAGGCCUUUGGGUUGUAAACCUCUUUUCUCAGGGAAGAAGUCAGUGACGGUACCUGAGGAAUCAGCUUCGGCUAACUCCGUGCCAGCCGCCGGGGUAAUACGUG